rnacentral:rRNA from 1 species
CAGAGGUGCCAAGCGUUGUUCGGAUUUAUUGGGCGUAAAGGGUGCGUAGGCGGUCGCGUAAGUCGGAUGUGAAAUCCCGGAGCCUAACUCCGGAAUGUCAUUCGAAACUGCGUGGCUCGAGAUCUGGAGAGGUGAUUGGAAUUCUCGGUGUAGCAGUGAAAUGCGUAGAUAUCGAGAGGAACACCAGAGGCGAAAGCGAAUCACUGGACAGAAUCUGACGCUGAGGCACGAAAGCUAGGGGAGCAAACGGGAUUAGAUACCCCGGUAGUCCUAGCCGUAAACGGUGCGUAUUUGAGGUGAGGGGAUUCGACCCCCUUUGUCUCGGAGCUAACGCGUUAAAUACGCCGCCUGGGGAGUACGGUCGCAAGAUUA